AUGGUUCCUACUCCAGGUCCAAGCCUUCCAAUCUGCCCCUCCGCCUCCGCUGCCGGACGGUCACCGCCUUGGUGCUCGUGGUCAGUUUCUCCUUGGGAGGAGCUCAAAGAAUCCCGUGAAAUCGGCAUACAGCUCGACAUGCCGAGCCUGCGCUCCUUCCGCUACAAGGGGUUCCCCGUCAAUCUCUCGCUGACAUCGCCGGCGCCGGGGCUGGCACGAGUCGACCUCGACACCAAUCGCCGCGAGCAGAACUUCUAUAAGCCCGAGCCUGCGGCGCGCAUGCUCGCGAGCUUCUCCAGCACGAGGGCCCUGAAGCUGCACCUCAGCAUCGAGGAAAUCGUCUCCGACGACGAGGUCAUCCUGCCGACCUUCCCGAACCUGAAGCUCCUCGAGAUAGACGGAAGCUUCAAGUACAUGGACAUCAACGCGGACUACGCAGUGGCGACGCUGCUCCGCGCCUGCCCGCCGAUGUCGGAGCUCCGGUUGAGGCUAAACAUGGCAUACGACUACGACUACGAUCGGCAGAUGCAGGCACCACCUGGGGGCCCCUUCGCCCAGUCCAUGGAGAAAUUCAACAGGCUCGCGUCCAUGUGCUCCGAGCAUCGCGACGACGUGGAGUUCGGCGGGGUCUCGGAGCUUGAGGACGCCUUCACCGACGACUGCGAGUUCAGCUGCCUGACGACGAGCCUGCGGAAGGUGACGCUGCGGUUCAAGUCCAAGGAGCUCAACUGCUUCCAGGUGCAGCUGGCCAAGUUCCUGGUGGAGAACGCCAUGGUGCUAGAGGAGAUGCACGUCGAGGACGGGAGCCAAUUCUGGCCGGACCACCUCUGCCACAAGGUCGCGAGAUGGAGAUCCGAUGCGCUCCGGAGGAGGAACCUGCCGGAUACGGCCGGCUUUCGCGUGUACCAGCUCGCUAAUCCCGCUGUAGAUCCUUAA
rnacentral:rRNA from 1 species